rnacentral:rRNA from 1 species
GACGAACGCUGGCGGCGUGCUUAACACAUGCAAGUCGAACGGAAAGGCCCUGCUUGCAGGGUGCUCGAGUGGCGAACGGGUGAGUAACACGUGGGUGAUCUGCCCCUUACUUUGGGAUAAGCCUGGGAAACUGGGUCUAAUACUGGAUAGGACCAUGCUGUAGGUGGUGUGGUGGAAAGAUUAGUUUCGGUAAGGGAUGAGCUCGCGGCCUAUCAGCUUGUUGGUGGGGUAAUGGCCUACCAAGGCGUCGACGGGUAGCCGGCCUGAGAGGGUGGACGGCCACAUUGGGACUGAGAUACGGCCCAGACUCCCACGGGAGGCAGCAGUGGGGAAUAUUGCACAAUGGGCGCAAGCCUGAUGCAGCGACGCCGCGGGGGGGAUGACGGCCUUCGGGUUGUAAACUCCUUUCAGCCAUGACGAAGCCCUUGUGGUGACGGUAGUGGUAGAAGAAGCACCGGCUAACUACGUG